UACGGAGGGUGCAAACGUUGCUCGGAAUUACUGGGCGUAAAGCGCACGUAGGCGGGUUCUUAAGUCGGUGGUGAAAUCCUGGAGCUCAACUCCAGAACUGCCUUCGAAACUGGGAAUCUUGAGUCCGGGAGAGGUGAGUGGAAUUCCCAGUGUAGAGGUGAAAUUCGUAGAUAUUGGGAAGAACACCGGUGGCGAAGGCGGCUCACUGGCUCAUUACUGACGCUCAGGCGCGACAGCGUGGGGAUCAAACAGG
rnacentral:rRNA from 1 species